rnacentral:rRNA from 1 species
GGCUCAGAUUGAACGCUGGCGGCAGGCCUAACACAUGCAAGUCGAACGGUAACAGGAGAAGCUUGCUCUUGCUGACGAGUGGCGGACGGGUGAGUAAUGUCUGGGAAACUGCCUGAUGGAGGGGGAUAACUACUGGAAACGGUAGCUAAUACCGCAUAACGUCGCAAGACCAAAGAGGGGGACCUUCGGGCCUCUUGCCAUCGGAUGUGCCCAGAUGGGAUUAGCUUGUUGGUGGGGUAACGGCUCACCAAGGCGACGAUCCCUAGCUGGUCUGAGAGGAUGACCAGCCACACUGGAACUGAGACACGGUCCAGACUCCUACGGGAGGCAGCAGUGGGGAAUAUUGCACAAUGGGCGCAAGCCUGAUGCAGCCAUGCCGCGUGUAUGAAGAAGGCCUUCGGGUUGUAAAGUACUUUCAGCGGGGAGGAAGGGAGUAAAGUUAAUACCUUUGCUCAUUGACGUUACCCGCAGAAGAAGCACCGGCUAACUCCGUGCCAGCCGCUGC